UAUAUACUCCCUCCGUCCGGAAAAGUUUGUUCCUCAAAUGGAUGUAUCUAGCACCAAGUUAGUAUUAGAUACAUCCAUUUGAAGGACAAGCUUUUCCGGACAAAGGGAGUACUCU
rnacentral:pre_miRNA from 1 species